rnacentral:rRNA from 1 species
UAGGGGACUAUAAUUUUUUUUAUUUAAACCCAAUUAGUAUGGCGGUCAGGUAGGAGCUUAGGGGAACUUACCAGGUAAUUGAUAACCCACAAGAAGACUCACUUAACGAAAAAAGCUUGCAUACCGCCGUUUUUAUUUUCUUUUCGAGAAGAAAAUUAAAUCAUUUUUUUUGAGGUUAUCAGGUCAAGGUGCAGCCAAUAGUUAAGGCUUUGGCGAGUUACAUUUGAAACUUCUCUUUCCCCUUUCCCAUUUGAAGGGGGAAAGGGGAAAGGACUUAAAAGUAAAUUUUACAGGAAAUUAUAAUUUGAAAUUUUAACUAACUGGUGC